GCAGCAGUGGGGAAUAUUGCACAAUGGGGGAAACCCUGAUGCAGCCAUGCCGCGUGUGUGAAGAAGGCCUUCCGGGUUGUAAAGCACUUUCAGUUGUGAGGAAAGGUUAACGGUUAAUACCCGUUAGCUGUGACGUUAGCAACAGAAGAAGGACCAGCUAACUCCGUGCCAGCAGCCGCGGUAAUACGGAGGGUCCGAGCGUUAAUCGGAAUUACUGGGCGUAAAGCGCACGCAGGCGGUUUGUUAAGCUAGAUGUGAAAGCCCUGGGCUCAACCUGGGAAUUGCAUUUAGAACUGGCAGGCUAGAGUUUUGGAGAGGGGAGUGGAAUUCCAGGUGUAGCGGUGAAAUGCGUAGAUAUCUGGAGGAACAUCAGUGGCGAAGGCGACUCCCUGGUCAGUAACUGACGCUCAUGUGCGAAAGUGUGGGUAGCGAACAGGAUUAGAUACCCUGGUAGUCCACACCGUAAACGCUGUCUACUAGCUGUUUGUGGAUUUAAUCCGUGAGUAGCGAAGCUAACGCGAUAAGUAGACCGCCUGGGGAGUACGGCCGCAAGGUUAAAACUCAAAUGAAUUGACGGGGGCCCGCACAAGCGGUGGAGCAUGUGGUUUAAUUCGAUGCAACGCGAAGAACCUUACCUACUCUUGACAUACUGAGAACUUAGCAGAGAUGCUUUGGUGCCUUCGGGAACUCAGAUACAGGUGCUGCAUGGCUGUCGUCAGCUCGUGUCGUGAGAUGUUGGGUUAAGUCCCGCAACGAGCGCAACCCAUGUCCUUAGUUGCCAGCCUUAAGUUGGGCACUCUAAGGAGACUGCCGGUGACAAACCGGAGGAAGGUGGGGACGACGUAAAGUCCUCAUGG
rnacentral:rRNA from 1 species